rnacentral:rRNA from 1 species
ACGCUCGACACCUACGGGAGGCAGCAGUGGGGAAUAUUGCACAAUGGGGGAAACCCUGAUGCAGCGACGCCGCGUGAAGGAAGAAGUAUCUCGGUAUGUAAACUUCUAUCAGCAGGGAAGAAAGUGACGGUACCUGACUAAGAAGCCCCGGCUAACUACGUGCCAGUAGCCGCGGUAAUCUGAGCGGGCUGGCAAGGC